rnacentral:rRNA from 1 species
UUUUAAAUGAAGACUAGAACAAAAGAUUUAACGUCUAUAUUUAUUUAUUUUAAUCAUCUAUUAAAUUUAUCUUAAAUGUAAAAAGACAUUUAUCCAAUAGAAAGACGACAAGACCCUAUUGAACUUAACUUCAGUUAAACUGGGGCAGUAAAUUAAUUAUUAUUUUAAUAUAAAUAUAUAAAACAUAUCCAACACAAUUGAAUAAUCCAGUUACCAUAGGGAUAACAGUGCAAUUAUUUUUAAGAGAACUUAUCUAAAAAAUAGAUUACAACCUCGAUGUUGAAUUAAUAACCUAUAUUAAAGCAAAUUUUAAAUAAGGAAGUCUGUUCGACUUUUAAACAAUUACAUGAUUUGAGUUCAGACCGGUGUAAGCCAGGUCGGUUUCUAUCUUCUAUAUAUCUUCUUACAGUACGAAAGGACCUAAAAAGUUAAUUUAAUUAUUUAAUUGGCAGAUAAAUGCAUUAGAAUUAGAAUCUAAUAAAACUUUC